GUUUUAGUGUAAUCAACAAUUGUCCGAUUGGGAGUGUGGUUACUACGUUAUGAACUGGAUGCAUGGGUUUGUAAUUUUUCGACAACAUGGAUUUCCGAAAGUAAGUAUAUUGUUAGAUAUUUUUUUCAUUUUUGUUUAUUGUAAUAAAGGCUCACCUUUGUUAAAUAACAAAUUUUUUAUCUUAAUUUGUUUGUAGAACAUUUUGAAGGACAAAAAACCAUUUUUUAGUGAGGAAUUGGAGGAACGUGUUAAAACAUGGAUGAGAACUUUUGGUGAUAAAGUGAAGCCUUUUUGUAAGGUACACAAAUUGUAUUUCAUGUUGUAUUUGCUCAUAUUUUUUAUGUUCUGGAGAAGUUUUCACCCUUGCAUUGCUAUAGAUGAAGUUGUUAAUGGCCAAGGUCUUAUAAUUUGAGUUUUCAUCAUUAAAAGUUAUUUGAGAUUUUGAAUCCUAAGUUUUCUUGUUAAUUUUUGUAGGCAUACAAUGAAUCAACCACAUAGGGGAAAGAGAGGUUAGAGGUGACAAAGGGGAAAGAGAGGUUAGAGAUGUGACAUUAACAAAUUUUUUUCUGUUUAAUGAACUAAGUUCAUUGUAAUUUUUUUUUCUAUUUCUGAAAAUGAAAACAUGAUCACUGAUGUCCCACUUCUUAUGGUUGGAAUGGAAU
rnacentral:lncRNA from 1 species